rnacentral:rRNA from 1 species
GACGAACGCUGGCGGCGUGCUUAACACAUGCAAGUCGAACGAUGAAACCUAGCUUGCUAGGUCGAUUAGUGGCGAACGGGUGAGUAACACGUGACUAACCUGCCCCUUACUUUGGGAUAACGCUCCGAAAGGAGUGCUAAUACCGAAUACGAACUUAAGUGACAUCACUUGAGUUGGAAAGUUUUUCGGUAAGGGAUGGAGUCGCGGCCUAUCAGCUUGUUGGUGAGGUAACGGCUCACCAAGGCGACGA